UACGAAGGGGGCUAGCGUUGUUCGGAAUUACUGGGCGUAAAGGGCGCGUAGGCGGCCAUUUAAGUCGGGGGUGAAAGCCUGUGGCUCAACCACAGAAUUGCCUUCGAUACUGGAUGGCUUGAGACCGGAAGAGGUAAGUGGAACUGCGAGUGUAGAGGUGAAAUUCGUAGAUAUUCGCAAGAACACCAGUGGCGAAGGCGGCUUACUGGUCCGGAUCUGACGCUGAGGCGCGAAAGCGUGGGGAGCAAACAGG
rnacentral:rRNA from 1 species